UGUCUGUCAGUGUCUGUUCAGUUCUUUGCUGUUGUUUUGGAUUGUGGUUUGUUACUGCAUCUGAGCAAUUUAAGCAAAUUAGGUAUCUGGUCAUUUUUACGUUGAGUCAAGCAACUGCUCCUCCGUACUCUAUCUGUUGAUAGUACUUUCGCGAAAGGACGCUUUAUUACUUGUGUUGUGUGUGUACGUGCUUUAAAAUGACGAGUUUGCAAUGCAUCAAUUGCAACGUUCGCUUGUCGCGAAUACGAAGGCACGCUUUAUCCGAUGAGAGUGAAGAUAUCGUCAAUACUAUUCGGCUGUGGACAUAUCCUAGAGAUAUAACACCUGCUGACCAUGUUUGCCGCACGGAACAAAUAUUU
rnacentral:lncRNA from 1 species